rfam:Aspergillus parasiticus ST-1 606, whole genome shotgun sequence.
CGCUGUGUGGCAGAAUUGGUUACCUACCGCGUCUGACUACGAAUCAGGAGGCUAUAGGUUAGAAUCCUAUCAUGGCUA